rnacentral:rRNA from 1 species
UACAGAGGGUGCGAGCGUUAAUCGGAAUGACUGGGCGUAAAGGGUGCGUAGGUGGUUUGUUAAGUGUGUUGUGAAAACCCUGGGCUUAACCUGGGACUUGCAACGCAUACUGAUGAACUAGAGUAGGUGAGAGGCGUGUGGAAUUUCCGGUGUAGCGGUGAAAUGCGUAGAGAUCGGAAAGAACACCUGUGGCGAAGGCGGCACGCUGGUACCAUACUGACACUGAGGCACGAAAGCGUGGGGAGCAAACAGG